GUCUAAAAGCGGAGAGGGUGCGCAUUUCUAGCGCAGAAAAACGGGGCAAAAGAGUCUAAAAGUGGAGAGAGUGCGCAUUUCUAGCGCAGAAAAACGGGUCAAAAGAGUCUAAAAGCGGAGAGAGUGCGCAUUUCUAGCGCAGAAAAACGGGUCAAAAGAGUCUAAAAGCGGAGAGUGUGCGCAUUUCUAGCGCAGAAAAAGGGGCAAAAGAGUCUAAAAGCGGAGAGGGUGCGCAUUUCUAGCGCAGAAAAACGGGGCAAAAGAGUCUAAAAGCGGAGAGAGUGUGCAUUUCUAGCGCAGAAAAACGGGGCAAAAGAGUCUAAAAGCGGAGAGGGUGCGCAUUUCUAGCGCAGAAAAACGGGGCAAAAGAGUCUAAAAGCGGAGAGAGUGUGCAUUUCUAGCGCAGAAAAACGGUGCAAAAGAGUCUAAAAGCGGAGAGAGUGCGCAUUUCUAGCGCAGAAAAACGGGGCAAAGAGUCUUAAAGCAGAGAGAGUGCGCAUUUCUAGCGCAGAAAAACGGGCCAAAGAGUCUAAAAGCGGAGAGAGUGCGCAUUUCUAGCGCAGAAAAACGGGUCAAAAGAGUCUAAAAGCGGAGAGUGUGCGCAUUUCUAGCGCAGAAAAAGGGGCAAAAGAGUCUAAAAGCGGAGAGGGUGCGCAUUUCUAGCGCAGAAAAACGGGGCAAAAGAGUCUAAAAGCGGAGAGAGUGUGCAUUUCUAGCGCAGAAAAACGGGGCAAAAGAGUCUAAAAGCGGAGAGGGUGCGCAUUUCUAGCGCAGAAAAACGGGGCAAAAGAGUCUAAAAGCGGAGAGAGUGUGCAUUUCUAGCGCAGAAAAACGGUGCAAAAGAGUCUAAAAGCGGAGAGAGUGCGCAUUUCUAGCGCAGAAAAACGGGGCAAAGAGUCUUAAAGCAGAGAGAUUGCGCAUUUCUAGCGCAGAAAAACGGGCCAAAGAGUCUAAAAGCGGAGAGGGUGCGCAUUUCUAGCGCAGAAAAACGGGGCAAAAGAGUAUAAAAGCGGAG